GGGUAGCGGGCCUGAGAGGGCGACCGGCCACACUGGGACUGAGACACGGCCCAGACUCCUACGGGAGGCAGCAGUGGGGAAUAUUGCGCAAUGGGCGAAAGCCUGACGCAGCGACGCCGCGUGAGGGAUGACGGCCUUCGGGUUGUAAACCUCUUUCAGCAGGGACGAAGCGAAAGUGACUGUACCUGCAGAAGAAGCGCCGGCUAACUACGUGCCAGCAGCCGCGGUAAUACGUAGGGCGCAAGCGUUGUCCGGAUUUAUUGGGCGUAAAGAGCUCGUAGGCGGUCUGUCGCGUCGGAAGUGAAAACCCGGAGCUCAACUCCGGGCCUGCUUUCGAUACGGGCAGACUUGAGUU
rnacentral:rRNA from 1 species